UACAGGGGGGGCAAGCGUUGUUCGGAAUUACUGGGCGUAAAGGGCUCGUAGGCGGCCAACUAAGUCAGACGUGAAAUCCCUCAGCUUAACUGGGGAACUGCGUCUGAUACUGGAUGGCUUGGAUUCGGGAGAGGAAUGCGGAAUUCCAGGUGUAGCGGUGAAAUGCGUAGAUAUGUGGAGGAACACCUGUGGCGAAGGCGGCAUCCUGGACCGGCAUUGACGCUGAGGAGCGAAAGCCAGGGGAGCAAACGGG
rnacentral:rRNA from 1 species